rnacentral:lncRNA from 1 species
CCCAAAUCUGACUUCGUAUAAGGAAGUUAUGAUUUUUCUAAGUUUCGACUUAGCAGUAUGCAACCCGAAUACUCGAUUUGAGAUUGAGCGGUUUUUAGCCGAAACAAUCUAAACGAGAAUCGAAGAUCUCGUUGUUAGUAGCAAAACGAUGAAAAGAUAGGCGAGAACGGACGUCGGACGAAGAAGUUAUGAAUUUAUAACGAAAGUUUCUGUCCCGGCCUAUUAAAAAUAAUUAAUAAAAAUAAAGUCAAAAUUAGCCGACGGAGUCUAAACGAAAGUCGUAGAGCGUGGUCUCACCUUCGCGUGGAUAUAAAGAACGUCGAAAACGGAGUUCGUAUGAAGAAGUUAUGAAUUUCCGAAGUUUAUUAAUCAUUUUGUAUUUAUAUUUAAAUCAAAAUUCGGAAGCAUUAUCCGAAGGAGUCACCGAUCUGAUCCGAGGUACGCCCCGCGUACUCGAGUACGCCCCGCGUACUCCGAGGGAUGUCGACACUCGCACUCGAGCACUUCGGAUACGUAAGCAAUGACGUUUUGGGCAGUACGCCCCGCGUAACGCAGUACGCCCCGCGUACUCCGAGGCUCCAGCCUCCUAUAAAUAGGAUGCGAGGGUUCCGGGUAUUUUUGCCAAUUCCCUCUCGUUUUCGUGUCGAAGCUCUGUGCAAAAACCCCCGAAGCUACCCCGAAGUCCCGGUAUCAUACUCUAGCCCCGAGGCAAGUCCCGAGAUCCCGAAGAUCCCGAAAAGUGCGGUUCCCGAGUCGAAGCUCUGCCCGCGAGAAGUUCGAUUUUCGAGAAGAUCUUCCAGAUCUGCUGUGGAUUACUACUUCUAUAAGCCGUAGUGCUGUCCGAUCAUCUUCUGAUCAAGUGAGUGUGUAGUUAUUUCUUCUAAUACAAUAAUACGAAGUAUUUUAUAUAAAAAUACGUGCUAUGUGUAUAUAUUUGGUUGUGUUAUGUGUGAAUGAGUAUUCACUCUCUUCUAUCUUAUAGAUCUGCUUAUUUCUUUAUGAGAUAUGUGUUAUGUGUGUGUGUGCCUCAUCUGUUAUGUGAUAUAUGUGUUGAUUAAAGCAUGCUAUACAGGUUUUCUUUAAACUAUGUAUACAAAUGUAUAUUUUUAUCUACUAAUAUGUUGGGUAGAACAUGGGUAGACAGUUGGUGUGUAAUAAACAGAUGAGAGGCCUCGUUGUUGUUUGAUUGAGUCAUCUAGCGGAGUUUAGAUGACGACCACUGGCUAUUCUAGACAGUCUUGUGGAAACAUUAGCAGGUUCGCCACCUGUAGGUGUUAAUGAACUUGGGUGUUCAUUCGCUGUACUCCAUCCCCCUCAUGGUUGCCUUAUUUGACUUAUAUUGCUGAGGUACCCCCGAAGCAUGUGUUGUCGCCCCGAUGAAAUAUUCUUAGACUAGGUCCCUUAUGUUAGUUGUUUUAGGGACAUUAAAGUGAGAAUAACGGGAAUGGGUAAUUGGGUUAUUGUUGGUUGGUGAAAAUUAAAUAUGAUAUUUAUUGUGGGUUGAAAACCCUAUAUGCUCACCAGGCUCCCAAGCCUGACCCACUCAGUUUUAAAUUGUAUUACAGGUAGUGGCGGAAGGGCAUGAGAUGGAUGAACCAUCAAGUUGUUUUGUUUACAAGUCUGCAUAUGUUUAUAUUUGUUAUAUGACUUGUAAUGUAUUCGUUUAUGCUUAUUGGUCUGUAUCGGAACAUGACACCCCGAGUUUUGAUUAUAAUGAAAAUACAUUUCUUUUAUGAAAUGCUUCGGUAAACAAUGUUUUAUCAUGUUUUGUUUUUGGGAACAAAUUCCGCAACUCUUUCAAAUCAAAAGGAUUUACUCUGAAAAUAUUUAAAAGCAUAAAUGAAAAUCGGUCUUUUCUGGCCGAGAUUUUGGGGAUGUCACAGUUGGUAUCAGAGCAUUAGUUUAAGCGAACUAGGAAUUUGUAGGAUUUCUAGACUUAAACUUAGAAUGCUAAGUGAAGUUUUGAGAUGUGUGUCUGUUGUGUUUUAGACACGAGCACUAGUUUAUUUUAGGAAAGUUGCCUAAAAUGCUUUAUGUGCUAAAUGUUAUAUGUUGCCAUAUAUGAUAUUAUUUGUUCGGAUCUAUGGUCUGUUGCCGACCGGAUCUAGAAACCUUAUGUGUGUAGGAUUCUAAGCGUACGUCUACGAUAUUAGAACUAGCAUGUAAACGUUUCGGAGUGAUAAGGAUGAUUUGAAUAUCUAUCAUGAUUGAGGAUCUAAUUUCACCUUAUUCGGGGUGUAGAUCAAAAUGGUGAGAACAAGAAGUGGAGUUGGAAAUGCUGACGAAAACAGGAAUCAACCACCAGUGAUUGAGCCAAUACCUGUCGUAGCAGCAGCACCUGAGCCAAUAACCAUGGCUGGUGUGCAAUUGAUGAUUCAGACGAUGUUGGAUCGUCAGAUGGAUGAAACUAGACGGUUGCUUCAACAAAAUCGUGAAGAACUGUCGAUUCGUGUGGAAGAGCCUGAACUGAAUGAAGGGCACUCGGAAGGUGGAAACUUCAGUGGGUCUGUUGGUCCAGCCAACCCACCGAUAGUUAGGCAAGAUAACCAUGAUGGAAGGAAUGAUGGAAUGGGAUGCAAGUACAAGGACUUUUUGACUUGUAAACCAUCGACCUUCAAUGGAAAGGAGGAUCCGAUUGGGGUUAUGGAUUGGAUCUCCGAAAUGGAGUUAGCCUUUAUGACAUGUGGCUGUAGAGGCAAGUUGCAGACUAUCUAUGCCGUGCGACAAUUCCGAGGUGGAGCCGUUCGUUGGUGGAACACUCUAGGGAAGACCUUAAGCCCUAAUGAGCCACUGCAAUUGUCAUGGGCAGAGUUCUUGGUGCAGUUCAAGCGCAAGUUCUGCUCGGCUCAAAAUCUGUUGGAGUUGGAGAAUAAGUUUUUGACAUUGACGAAGGGUAGCAUGUCAGUUGAUGAAUACACCAAUAACUUCACCGAUAAGAUGGAGUUUGCCUUGCGUAUCGUUCCAGACGAGCUGACAAAGGUGGAUCGGUAUGCGAAGGGACUUCCAUGGGAGUACGAGGUGCCAGUACGUCAGGCACUUACUCUAGAGGCAGCUAUCUGGGCUGCCAAGUCUGUGGAGAACAUGAUCAAGGGGAGAACCACCGUCAAGGUUGAGGUUGGUGAGAAAAGGAAGUUUGAAGGAACAUCUGGUUCCAGUAAGAAGAGCAAAUUUUCGAAAUCUGAUUCGAAAAAGUUUGGAGGAAAAGGAGGCGAAGCGAAGUGGUGUGAUAAGUGUAAGAAAAAGCACUUUGGGAAAUGUAGCGAGGAUGUGACCUGCUACAAGUGUGGAAAGGUUGGACAUUUUGCCAAUGAAUGUCCGAACAACAAAAGGAUGUGUUUUGGUUGUAAUGAAGAGGGGCAUAUUUUGAAAGACUGUCCGAAGAAGAAGGAGGCAGCUAGGCCCAACAUUCCACCAAAGCCGAAGGCGAGAGCCUUCCAGAUGACACUUGAGGCUGCGAAAGAUGAAGCUGAUGUCGCUUCAGGUACCUUUCUCGUAAACGAAUUACCUGCUCAUAUAUUGUUUGAUUCUGGAGCCAACUACUCCUUUAUUUCGCAUGAGUUUGGUAGAAAGCUAGCUUUGCCUGUUGAUAGACUAAAUAAUGCUUUAUUAGUCGAAGUAGCUAGUGGCAAGUUUGUACCUGUUAGCCAUCGUAUGAAAAACGUCUUGAUCGACCUUAAUGGGAAUAAGUUUCUCGAGGAAUUAUUGCCUAUCGAACUAAAUGGUUUCGACAUCGUCUUGGGAAUGGAUUGGCUUAGCGCCAAUGAUGCCGAAAUUUUGUGCAAGAAGAAGAUAGUUAAAGUAAACCCGCCUGGGAAAGAUUCGUUUAUGGUGUAUGGGGACAAACGCAGAGUGAAUUCUGGAAUCAUUUCUCUAAUGAAAGCCAGAAAGUGUUUGACCAAGGGAUGUACAUCAUAUUUAGCAUUCGUGAUUGAUGCUAAGAAAGAAAAGAAGGUGAUGCAGAGUAUUCCAGUGGUGUGUGAUUAUCCGGAAGUAUUUCCCGAGGAUCUUCCUGGAUUACCACCUGAUAGACAAGUGGAGUUCAGAAUAGACUUGUUACCAGGAACCACGCCAAUAGCAAAAGCACCUUAUCGAUUAGCACCGACGGAGAUGAAGGAGCUAAUGAUGCAACUUCAGGAGUUAUUGGACAAAGGUUUCAUUAGACCUAGUUCAUCGCCCUGGGGAGCUCCGGUGUUAUUUGUAAAGAAGAAAGAUGGAAGUAUGAGAAUGUGCAUCGAUUACAGAGAGCUGAACAAGGCAACAAUAAAGAAUAGAUAUCCGUUGCCGAGGAUUGAUGACCUGUUUGAUCAAUUGCAAGGUUCGAGCUAUUUCUCGAAGAUCGAUCUUAGGUCAGGAUAUCAUCAGCUGAAAGUAAGAGAGCAAGAUAUCGAGAAGACUGCAUUCAGAACUAGAUAUGGACACUACGAGUUCUUGGUUAUGUCGUUUGGACUAACCAAUGCUCCAGCAGCGUUCAUGGAUUUGAUGAAUAGGGUUUGUAACCCGUUCCUUGAUAAAUCCGUGAUAGUGUUCAUAGACGACAUUCUGAUUUACUCGAAAAGCCAGGAGGAGCAUGGCAGACACUUGCGAGAAGUGUUAGAAGUCUUGAAGAAGGAGAAGCUGUAUGCUAAGUUCUCCAAAUGUGAUUUUUGGAUUCGUGAAGUCCAAUUCUUGGGUCACGUGGUCAACCAAGAAGGGAUAAUGGUUGAUCCAGCGAAGAUCGAAGCUGUGACGAAGUGGGAACAACCGAAAAGUCCCACGGAGAUUCGAAGCUUUUUAGGAUUAGCCGGAUAUUACCGAAGGUUUAUCCAAGGCUUUUCUUCGAUUGCUACUCCAUUGACAGCUUUGACCCACAAAGGAGCUACUUAUGCUUGGAGUGAGAAGCAUAAAGAAGCAUUCGAGAAGUUAAAGAAGAAGCUAUGCGAGGCACCGAUACUUUCUCUACCCGAUGGAGUUGAAGACUUCGCUGUUUAUAGCGAUGCGUCUGGUGUUGGAUUGGGUUGUGUUUUGACCCAAAGAGAAAAGGUGAUAGCAUAUGCGUCUCGACAGCUGAAAGAGCAUGAAAAGAAUUACCCGACUCAUGAUUUGGAGUUGGCAGCGGUAGUUUUCGCUCUGAAAAUAUGGAGGCAUUACCUCUAUGGCACGAAGUGCAAACUUUUCACUGAUCAUAAGAGUCUCCAAUACCUCUUUAAUCAGAAAGAAUUGAAUAUGAGGCAACGACGCUGGCUAGAAUUACUUAAAGACUAUGACUGCGAGAUACUUUACCACCCCGGUAAAGCUAAUGUUGUUGCUGAUGCUCUCAGUCGGAAAGUCAAUCCCGAAAGGAAAAGGCCAAGAGCGUUGAGAAUUGAAGUUGUCUCAACUAUUUUGGAAAGUAUAAAGAAAGCUCAGAGCGAAGCUUCUGAGAAGAAUGACAGAAAGGAGGAACGUUUGGGCAAAACGUUGGUGUUCGGUGUAAACAGUCAUGGACUGAAGGUGUUCCAAGAUCGGAUUUGGAUACCUAAGACAGGAGGAGUCAGAGAUCUUCUGAUGGAAGAAGCUCACAAGACCAUGUACUCGAUUCAUCCGGGUAGCACUAAAAUGUAUAGGGACCUGAAACCCUACUACUGGUGGCCGACGAUGAAGCUUGAUGUUGCAAAGUAUGUGGCCGAGUGUGUGACUUGUGCGAGAGUCAAGACACAACAUCAGAAACCGUACGGGAGUUUAGAACCAUUGCCUGUGCCUAUGGGUAAGUGGGAAGACAUUGCUAUGGAUUUUGUCACUAAACUGCCCAGAACAAAGAAUGGUCACGACAUGAUUUGGGUGGUCGUUGAUCGAUUCACUAAGAGUGCGCAUUUCAUAGCAGCCAAGGAGAAAUGGUCUAUGGAAAAGCUUGCGAAUUCUUACGUGAAGGAAAUUGUGAGGCUUCACGGUGUUCCGUUAACGAUUGUGUCGGAUCGUGAUAGUCGUUUCACCUCACGAUUUUGGAAAAGUCUACAAGAGGAAUUGGGUACCAAGUUGUGUUUAAGUACAGCUUACCAUCCGCAGACUGAUGGUCAGAGCGAACGAACGAUACAAACACUUGAAGAUAUGCUGAGAGCGUGUACCUUGGAAUUCCUAGGUAAUUGGGAUGAACAUUUACCUUUGGUAGAAUUUUCCUAUAAUAAUAGUUUUCACUCGAGCAUAAAGAUGGCACCUUAUCAAGCAUUGUAUGGACAGAAGUGUCGUACGCCGUCUUGUUGGCUUGAGGCUGGGGAAAAGCAGUUUAUGGGACCGGAGUUGGUUCAUCAAACUGCUGAAAAGUUGAAAAUAAUUAGGGAAAGAAUGUUAGCAGCUCAGGAUCGUCAAAAGAGCUAUGCUGACAAAAAGCGAAGACCGAUGACUUUUGAAGUUGGAGAUUCGGUUUUGCUUAAAGUCUCGCCGUGGAAGGGACUUAUAAGAUUUGGUAAAAGGGGAAAGUUAAGUCCAAGGUUUAUUGGACCGUUUAAAGUUCUUCAGAGGAUUGGGAACCAAGCUUACAAGCUCGAACUACCAGAAGAACUGAAUGGAAUUCAUAACACUUUUCAUGUGUGUUACUUGAGGAAGUUCACGGGAGAAGUUCCCGACAUAAUUCCACUUUCGGAGUUGAGGAUCGAUGAGAACAAAAGGUUGAUCGAGGAACCGGAGGCAAUCGUUGACCGAAAGACUAAGAAAUUGCGACGUAAGAUGGUUGAGUUAGUGCUUGUCCGAUGGAAACACACGAAUGGGCCGAAUCUCACCUGGGAGACGGAGAGUGACAUGAUGAGUCGCUAUCCGCAUUUGUUUGCUGGUGUGUGAUUCCGGGGACGGAAUCAUUCUAAGGUGGAGAGAAUUGUAACGCCCGUGUUUCUGGGAUUGCCAUUUUUAGCAAUGUAAUAGUCUAGGUUAACCUUUGUAACCCCAAUUUGAAAUAAUAAAAAUGUAUUAUUUGUGAAUUAUGUGAAUUAUGUGAUUUAUGUGUUUAUUUUCUUAAUUAUUAUAAUUUAAUGAAUUAAGAAUAAAAUAAGCGUCAAAAUUAAAGUGUGAGAUAAGCCCGAUAUCUUUGCAUAAAGUUGUAGUGGUUGAAACAAGGAUUCCGGAGAUAUAAGGAAUGCCAAAAUCCGAGUUAUAACGAAGAAGUUAUGACCUGUCGAAGUUUCGCGACAGAACCGGCACGACGUCGAGUGACGUAAAAUAUGAAUUUAAGAUAGAGCGAUAUUUAGCCUUAGCGAUCUAAACGAAAGUCGUAGAUUUCGUUAAACCGAGAGCGUGCAUAAAAGGAACGCCCAAAUCUGACUUCGUAUGAGGAAGUUAUGAUUUUUCUAAGUUUUGACUUAGCAGUAUGCAGCCCAAAUACUCGAUUUGAGAUCGAGCGGUUUUUAGCCGAAACAAUCUAAAUGAGAAUCGAAGAUCUCGUUGUUAGUAGCGAAACGAUGAAAAGUUAGGCGAGAACGGACGUCAGACGAAGAAGUUAUGAAUUUAUAACGAAGUUUUUCUGUCCCGGCCUUCUAAAA